GGGACGGGUGAGUAACACGUGGAUAACCUACCUAUAAGACUGGGAUAACUUCGGGAAACCGGAGCUAAUACCGGAUAAUAUAUUGAACCGCAUGGUUCAAUAGUGAAAGACGGUUUUGCUGUCACUUAUAGAUGGAUCCGCGCCGCAUUAGCUAGUUGGUAAGGUAACGGCUUACCAAGGCAACGAUGCGUAGCCGACCUGAGAGGGUGAUCGGCCACACUGGAACUGAGACACGGUCCAGACUCCUACGGGAGGCAGCAGCC
rnacentral:rRNA from 1 species